UCAGAGGUCAGAGAGCUGAUAGCGCCGCACCAGGCCAUCUCGGCAGCAUGUGUAGAUCUGCUUCUCCCACGUGGCUACCUGGAAUACCAGAGUCACAGCUCACAAAGGGCUACAUCAUGCAAAGGGAUGGUGACUCACCUUGGACUCCUCACAUCCAGCUGAUAAAUGUUUCCAUCCUGUGUCCCAGCUAAGAGCAAGAAGCCAGAGAGAAAAGUACAGCAGUUGAAGGCAUCUGAGCCAAUAAAGAGGAAUACCUGGGAACAAGUAGGAGACAAAAAUGCUGUUAAAGCUUAAUUUGUUUCCAGAAAUAAACAGGCACCAAAAAAUAAAAAUUUUACUAUUUUUA